rnacentral:rRNA from 1 species
UAACGAAUCGCAUGGCCUUGCGCCGGCGAUGGUUCAUUCAAAUUUCUGCCCUAUCAACUUUCGAUGGUAGGAUAGUGGCCUACCAUGGUGGCAACGGGUAACGGGGAAUUAGGGUUCGAUUCCGGAGAGGGAGCCUGAGAAACGGCUACCACAUCCAAGGAAGGCAGCAGGCGCGCAAAUUACCCAAUCCCGACACGGGGAGGUAGUGACAAUAAAUACUGAUACGGGGCUCUUUUGGGUCUCGUAAUUGGAAUGAGUACAAUCUAAAUCCCUUAACGAGGAACAAUUGGAGGGCAAGUCUGGUGCCAGCAGCCGCGGUAAUUCCAGCUCCAAUAGCGUAUAUUAAAGUUGUUGCAGUUAAAAAGCUCGUAGUUGAACCUUGGGUCUGGCUGGCCGGUCCGCCUCACCGCGAGUACUGGUCCGGCUGGACCUUUCCUUCUGGGGAAUCCCAUGGCCUUCACUGGCUGUGGGUGGAACCAGGACUUUUACUGUGAAAAAAUUAGAGUGUUCAAAGCAGGCCUUUGCUCGAAUACAUUAGCAUGGAAUAAUAGAAUAGGACGUGCGGUUCUAUUUUGUUGGUUUCUAGGACCGCCGUAAUGAUUAAUAGGGAUAGUCGGGGGCGUCAGUAUUCAGCUGUCAGAGGUGAAAUUCUUGGAUUUGCUGAAGACUAACUACUGCGAAAGCAUUCGCCAAGGAUGUUUUCAUUAAUCAGGGAACGAAAGUUAGGG